ensembl:lncRNA
GUCAGUCUAGUUGGGGCUGAGCAGGCUGUCUCUGCUAAAAAAGAUGGACUAACUGCCAGAGCCACUGACAGGCAGUCGAUAGCACAGCAAUUAAUGUCAUAAAUAAUUCCAGAACCAAUUACAUCAAAAUGGACUCGGAGCUUUAAAAAGGUUCUCAUGCUGCUUUGCAAAGAGAAUGUAUAACAGGAUUUGUACAGGGCUGCAAAUGCUGAAGAUGACAGUUAAGGAAGAUGAAAACUCCAUAAAAGGAGAUCCUGGUAAGGAACAUGGAACUAACAAUCCAACACCAACUGGAAGAAUUGGUAAUGGUCAAAAGGAGAUGCCACAUGUCCUACCAAUCUCCCAGAAAUCUCCUUGCUGGAAUCCAUCUUGGCUGAGCAAAGUGUGUACCAUCAAGAAGGACCUUGAGCCAGAAUGAUUGGCCAGAGGCAACCUGGAAACUAAUCCCAUUACUGUAAAGCCUGAGACUGAGCCACGUGGCAGAGCAGCCCUCCUGGGAUCCCUCAUCUUCCUGCUCUCCGCCCUUCUCAAUAAAGUCGCUUGCUUCGUCAGCAUCUGUGUCUCCUUGGACAAUUCAUUUCUGAGCGUUAGACAAGAGCCCACUCUCGGGGGCUGGAAGGAGUCCUCUGUCCCACAAAAUGAGGACCUUCCAAGAAGUACAAAGUUUUAGUUGUGACGUAAUAAACUGGAUUAAAAUUUUCUUGCAU